CCAACUCCUAAACUGGUUACGGAUAUCUGUAGCUUGAUAAAAACUUCAAUUGUACCUCAAAUAAAACAGACUCUCAAAGAUCAAAUACUGAAACAACUUGCCCAGAGAGGCUGUGGGAACUCCCUCCUCAGAGAUAUACAUAACUCAACUGAACAUGACUAAAAGCAACCUGCUUUAAUGGGAUCUGCCAUGAGGAGAAAGUUGGACUACAGAACUUGAAGAAGUCCCUUGCCACCUACACAAUUCUGAUAAUGUGACAUGAUAGUAGAUACAUUCAAAUUAGCAGUUCCACCCUGCCAGGGAAAGAGACUCCAAUAUCACUUCCUUUUGCCUAAAGGUUUUUAUGAAACCAUGGCCUGUAGGCAGGGAAGGCCUGUUCUGCAGUAACAAAUUAAUUGAUAAUUUUUUCCAUAUAUCACCAAGUAAAAUAUGCAAAUACACUGGAGAAGUCAUCUGACCUGAAUUCAAAGAGACUGGAGAUUUUGCCUGCUUUUAUUAUCUAGACAGCUUUGUCACAAACAGAAAGAGUGCCCUUUUCAUAAAGAACUACUUUCCUACCAUUUUAACUCACUGUUAUGAAAUCCCAUUUCUCUGCCUUUGUCCUUGUUAACCAUUUCUGAAUCUUCUUCCAGUUCUAUUUUUACUGAGACCGGGGGGAGGCUGCAGAAUUGAAUGCAGUAUCCAGGGUGGAGACAGAACAUGGAUUUAUAGACGCUGCAGAUUAUAUUUCAUUUAAGAGAGAAGAAAUAGAAAUGCACAUUUUGUGUAACUUUUCCUUUUACCAUGUCUACUGGCUUUUCGUUGUCUCUAAAUGUUUUAAAUUGCUUGAAAAUAAAAUGAAGAUUUUUGUUACCUGUU